GAGUAUUCUGGUAGCUGUAAGCCAGGGGCGGUAGCGUG
rfam:Pantoea sp. PSNIH1, complete genome.